AUCGCUUCUCGGCCUUUUGGCUAAGAUCAUGUGUAGUAUCUGUUCUUUUCAGACAGCCACGCCUCCCCGGAGCUCCGGGUUGUCUUCGAAGAAAAUCAAGUUUUUAGAUCGCGUUAGUCGAUAAUUUUUGUAUCUACCUUUUCGUCUUAGUUUAUAGACCAAGUAGGUCUAGUUUUUACAGAUUUUUGUUUCAUUUU